rnacentral:rRNA from 1 species
CCUACGGGAGGCAGCAGUGGGGAAUAUUGCACAAUGGGGGAAACCCUGAUGCAGCGACGCCGCGUGAGUGAAGAAGUAUUUCGGUAUGUAAAGCUCUAUCAGCAGGGAAGAAAAUGACGGUACCUGAUUAAGAAGCCCCGGCUAACUACGUGCCAGCAGCCGCGGUAAUACGUAGGGGGCACGCGUUAUCCGGAUUUACUGGGUGUAAAGGGAGCGUAGACGGCAGCACAAGUCUGGAGUGAAAUGCCUGGGCUUAACCCCGGAACUGCUUUGGAAACUGUGCAGCUAGAGUGCAGGAGAGGUAAGUGGAAUGCCUAGUGUAGCGGUGAAAUGCGUAGAUAUUAGGAGGAAAACCAGUGGCGAAGGCGGCUUACUGGACUGUAACUGACGUUGAGGCUCGAAAGCGUGGGGAGCAAACAGGAUUAGAUACCCUAGUAGUC